GCAACACGAAAAACAAAACGUUUUUUAAAAUUUGAAGGGAUGAUAUUUUUGGGAAAACGCAAAGCCUAUAAAGGCUUUGAAGAAAAGUCUUAAGUUAGAGAACUUGUGACGGUGUGAGAGAGGCUUCUCUCAGACAAAGACCCUCCUCCCUCUGUCCCCGUGUGUCCAAGCGAACUCCAAAAGAGGAAGGGGAAGAGGAAGAGGAAGAGGAAGAGGAAGAGGAAGAGCGGAAGCUCUUGUGGUGUGAAAGUGAUGGUGACACUGAAAGCAGGAAGCAGACCGCCAUGGGUGGGUUUGGGAGCUGCAGUUUGGGUACAGAUUGCAUCAGGCAAUGCCUACACCUUUCCUCUCUACUCCCAUUCUCUCAAAUCCGUUUUGGGAUUCAACCAGCACCAGCUCACCAUGCUCGGCGUCGCCAACGACAUCGGCGAGAACGUUGGCCUUCUACCGGGCGUUGUCUGCAACAAGUUCCCUCCUUGGGUUGUUCUUUCGAUCGGUGCUUUUGCCUGCUUCCUUGGGUAUGGUGUUCUUUGGCUUGCCUUGAGCCGUACUCUUCUGUCCUUACCUUUUUGGUUGUUAUGGUUUGCACUUUGUGUUGCCACCAACAGUAGUGCUUGGUUGAGCACAUCUGUGCUUGUGACCAACAUGAGAAACUUCCCUCUCAGUCGGGGCACAGUAGCAGGCAUUCUCAAAGGUUAUGGGGGCCUCAGUGCUGCAGUAUAUACUGAAAUUUACACCACAACACUUCACAAAUCCUCGUCCGAGCUCUUGAUGUUCCUUGCCCUUGGUGUUCCUCUUAUAUGUUUCACCAUGAUGUAUUUCGUCAGGCCUUGUACUCCAGCUUCUGGGGAAGACUCUGCACAGCAUGGCCAUUUUCUUUUUACUCAGGCUGCCAGUGUUGUGCUUGGCUCAUAUCUUCUCACAACUACAAUAUUGAAUGAUAUAUUUUCUUUAAGUGCUCCAAUUUCCUAUACUUUUCUUGCUGCAAUGGUUCUCCUUCUCAUGGCUCCACUAGCAAUUCCUAUAAAGAUGACCUUGAACCCCACAAAUCGCAGCAAAUCAGGGAUACUCAACCAACCAGUUGGGUCUUCAGAAAGUAUGCUUCAAGGAGAGGAAAACGCAGACAAAACAGAACCAUUGCUGACAUCAUCUUUGUCAACAGCAAGCCUUGGAAGUUUUCACAAGAAUGACAGUGUGUCAGAGAUAGAUAUGCUCCUUGCUGAGGGAGAGGGGGCAGUGAAGAAAAAGAGAAGACCCCGAAGAGGGGAAGACUUCAAGUUCACUGAAGCUUUAGUCAAGGUUGAUUUCUGGCUUCUGUUCUUAGUCUACUUUGCUGGUGUGGGUUCUGGGGUAACUGUUCUCAAUAACCUGGCCCAGAUAGGGAUUGCACAAGGUGUGCAUAACACCACAAUGUUGUUAUGUCUCUUCAGCUUUUGUAAUUUCUUGGGCCGUCUUGGUGGAGGUGCUGUUUCUGAACAUUUUCUCAGGUCAAAAACAAUCCCUCGGACAAUUUGGAUGACAUGCACUCAAGUAAUUAUGGUCAUUACAUACCUGCUGUUUGCUUCUGCUCUUGAUGGUACCCUCUAUGCUGCAACUGCAUUACUUGGGAUCUGCUAUGGUGUUCAAUUUUCUAUCAUGGUCCCAACUGUCUCUGAGCUUUUUGGCUUGAAGCAUUUUGGUAUUUUUUACAAUUUCAUGUCGCUGGGGAAUCCUCUUGGUGCCUUUCUAUUCUCUGGUCUCCUUGCAGGGUAUGUGUAUGAUAAUGAGGCAGCAAAGCAGCAAGGAAUGAAUCUACUCAAUUCAAGUGUCUCUUGCUUGGGUCCAAAUUGUUUUAGACUCACCUUCCUGGUUCUGGCUGGUGUCUGUGGUGUGGGCUCCAUCCUGAGCAUAAUUCUGACCAUGAGAAUCAGACCUGUUUACCAAAUGUUAUAUUCAGGAGGCUCCUUCAGGCUACCUCAAAAUUCAGAUCAUUGAGUUGAUCAAAAUGGAGCAUGGAAGCGCUGGAUCCUCUUGGAAAACCAUUUUUCCAACUCUUCAAUGGUGUGGAUCUCAAUGGACCAGUCCCUGGAAAUCAAUCAAGAGAUUGUAGUCUGGUAAAAUGCAAGUUGGGUGCUGUCAUUUGGUACUUGAAUUUGUGAACAGAGGUGGGGUAUGAGGGGUUGUGGGUUUUGCUAUCUACUGAGAAGGAAUGAUAAGGAUUGAUCUGGAUUGCAGUGUGUAAGAAAGUGGCUGCAAUAUGAUAGUCCUUUUUUGGAGUCUUUAAAGCUAAAACUACCCUAUUGAAGAAGUGUGGAAUGAAAAUACUGUUGUAUCUACAAUGUCGAUCAUAAAUCUGAUUGAAGUGGGAUUUUGAAAGAGGGGACGAGUGUUUACCUCAUGUCACUUGGCUGGGAGUUUUCUUUCCUCUGUUAGGGUCUUAACUUUUCCCCACAAUUGUUUAACUAUAAGAUUCCUUCUUUAGCCUCA